AUUGAACGCUGGCGGCAGGCCUAACACAUGCAAGUCGAGCGGAUGAAGGGAGCUUGCUCCUGGAUUCAGCGGCGGACGGGUGAGUAAUGCCUAGGAAUCUGCCUGGUAGUGGGGGAUAACGUCCGGAAACGGGCGCUAAUACCGCAUACGUCCUGAGGGAGAAAGUGGGGGAUCUUCGGACCUCACGCUAUCAGAUGAGACUAGGUCGGAUUAGCUAGUUGGUGGGGUAAAGGCCUACCAAGGCGACGAUCCGUAACUGGUCUGAGAGGAUGAUCAGUCACACUGGAACUGAGACACGGUCCAGACUCCUACGGGAGGCAGCAGUGGGGAAUAUUGGACAAUGGGCGAAAGCCUGAUCCAGCCAUGCCGCGUGUGUGAAGAAGGUCUUCGGAUUGUAAAGCACUUUAAGUUGGGAGGAAGGGCAGUAAGUUAAUACCUGGCUGUUUUGACGUUACCAACAGAAUAAGCACCGGCUAACUUCGUG
rnacentral:rRNA from 1 species